rnacentral:rRNA from 1 species
GAACGCUGGCGGCGGCCUAACAAUGCAAGUCGAGCGGAAACGAAGAGGUGCUUGCACCUCUGGCGUCGAGCGGCGGACGGGUGAGUAAUGCUUGGGAAUAUGCCUUAUGGUGGGGGACAACAGUUGGAAACGACUGCUAAUACCGCAUAAUGUCUACGGACCAAAGUGGGGGACCUUCGGGCCUCACGCCUUAAGAUUAGCCCAAGUGGGAUUAGCUAGUUGGUGAGGUAAUGGCUCACCAAGGCGACGAUCCCUAGCUGGUUUGAGAGGAUGAUCAGCCACACUGGGACUGAGACACGGCCCAGACUCCUACGGGAGGCAGCAGUGGGGAAUAUUGCACAAUGGGCGCAAGCCUGAUGCAGCCAUGCCGCGUGUGUGAAGAAGGCCUCCGGGUUGUAAAGCACUUUCAGUAAGGAGGAAAGGUUAAGUGUUAAUAGCGCUUAGCUGUGACGUUACUUACAGAAGAAGCACCGGCUAACUCCGUGCCAGCAGCCGCGGUAAUACGGAGGGUGCGAGCGUUAAUCGGAAUUACUGGGCGUAAAGCGUACGCAGGCGGUUUGUUAAGCGAGAUGUGAAAGCCCCGGGCUC